rnacentral:rRNA from 1 species
GGUGCGACAGACCGGUCCGACCUUUGGUGGGUACUCGGUGUUGUUGCGCCAUCCUUGAGAGGUACGUUCUGGCAUUAAGUUGUCGGGGCGGUGUCCGCUCAUCGUUUACUGUGAGAAAAUUAGAGUGUUCAAAGCAGGCUUAUGCCGUUGAAUAUGCUAGCAUGGAAUAAUAAGAUAGGACCUCGGUACUAUUUUGUUGGUUUGAGAACCAAGGUAAUGAUCAAUAGGGACAGUUGGGGGUAUUCGUAUUCAGUUGUCAGAGGUGAAAUUCUUAGAUUUACGGAAGACGAACUACUGCGAAAGCAUUUACCAAGGAUGUUUUCAUUAAUCAAGAACGAAAGUAUGGGGAUCGAAGAUGAUUAGAUACCAUCGUAGUC